AUGAACGCUGGCGGCGUGCCUAAUACAUGCAAGUCGAGCGAACGGACGAGAAGCUUGCUUCUCUGAUGUUAGCGGCGGACGGGUGAGUAACACGUGGAUAACCUACCUAUAAGACUGGGAUAACUUCGGGAAACCGGAGCUAAUACCGGAUAGUAUUUUGAACCGCAUGGUUCAAAAGUGAAAGACGGUCUUGCUGUCACUUAUAGAUGGAUCCGCGCUGCAUUAGCUAGUUGGUAAGGUAACGGCUUACCAAGGCAACGAUGCAUAGCCGACCUGAGAGGGUGAUCGGCCACACUGGAACUGAGACACGGUCCAGACUCCUACGGGAGGCAGCAGUAGGGAAUCUUCCGCAAUGGGCGAAAGCCUGACGGAGCAACGCCGCGUGAGUGAUGAAGGUCUUCGGAUCGUAAAACUCUGUUAUUAGGGAAGAACAUAUGUGUAAGUAACUGUGCACAUCUUGACGGUACCUAAUCAGAAAGCCACGGCUAACUACGUG
rnacentral:rRNA from 1 species